CUGUUACUCCAUCUUCUUUCUUUACCUCACCUUUUUUUUUAAAAAAUAAAACUUUGAAAACGGCAACAAAAAAAUCACCUGAAGAGAAAAAAAAAGAAGGUACCUUUCGCCGGAAAAAUCCACCGAUGCAACGUGGAACUGCCGGUGCCGGAGGUGGUGGACUUUCUCGUUUCCGUUCAGCUCCGGCGACAUGGUUAGAAGCACUUCUUGAAUCCGACACUGAGAACGAAGUUAUUCUUAACCCUUCUUCUCCCAUUUUACACACACCUAGUAAACCACCACCUCACCCAUCAACUCAGAAGCUCCCGGAGCUUAAACUGGAAACCGGUGGCGCUACCAGGUUCCCUGGCGAUCCGGGUCUGUUUGAAUCAGGUGGCAGUAGCAAUUUUCUCCGGCAGAACAGUUCUCCGGCGGAGUUUCUUUCACAUAUCAGCUCUGAUGGUUACUUCUCAAACUAUGGAAUUCCGUCUAGUUUGGACUAUCUUUCUCCAUCCGUUGAUGUUUCUCCGUCCGCUAAGCGAGCCCGAGACGCUGAUUCGGAAAGUUCCCCCAGAAAAUUAUCAUCCCAGUUGAAGGGAGAGCCAAGGGGGCAGUUACAUGGUUCUGGUGGGUCACUGGAUGCUGAAAUGGAGAAUCUCAUGGAUGAUUUGGUGCCUUGUAAGGUUCGAGCAAAGCGUGGCUGUGCUACCCAUCCUCGCAGCAUAGCGGAGCGGGUUCGUCGAACCCGUAUAAGUGACAGAAUUAGGAAGCUUCAGGAACUGGUGCCAAAUAUGGACAAGCAAACCAACACAGCCGACAUGUUGGAAGAAGCAGUUGAAUACGUCAAGUUUCUGCAGAGGCAGAUUCAGGAACUUACGGAGCAUCAGAAGAAAUGCACAUGCUCAAUGAAAGAUCAAUAAUGAGAAGAAGAAAGUUCCACUAUAGUAUAUAGGCAAUAGUUUGCUUAGAUGCAUGCAGUUUAGACAUGGUUGGGAUAUUUUGUACUUUUAGGAUUUAGCGUUCAGAUGUUGAGUCCCCAAACUUGCAUGUUUAUGAAGUCCAUAUAGAUGCUUUUCUUAAACUGAAGGAAAAUCAUUAUGGAAGCAACUGGCGUGUAGAUUGGAAAAAAGCUCAUUGCAGGUCUAUUAAUGAGAGAAAUUGAAUGAGGUAGCAGCCUUUCUAGUAUUAGUUGCAUAUGCAGAACUUGAAUAAGUAGGUUAAUGUUAUCUGCUGGAAAUAAGCAGUUCUUCAUAAAUCAUGUUUUGCUUGGGAAGUGAGGAAGAGCUGAAGAAAUUAUAAUGUUUUAGCAUGUAUAUUAUCCCCAUAUACAUGUGGUCAUAGAAUAUUAUAAACAGUGCUGUUGCAGGGACCAACUGCCUGCUAUUCACUCUUUCCCUGGUGAGUAAUCUUCUUAUUUGUAUAAAAACAUAAUAAGGUAUUACAACAUUGCUUUUAGAUACUUAGAGCCCGUUUGGAUUGGCUUUUGACCAACUUAAAGCCCCUUUUAAGCUUUUGGACGUGUUUGCCUAAUGCUAACUUUAAGCCAGAAAGUUCUUAAAGUCAGUCAAAAAUGAAAAGUUAGGAUUCCUAACUUUUUUUUUUUCUAAGUGCUUAAAGUCAUUUUCUUUGACCAUGGAAAUCACUUUUAUAUCCCUUAUAUUUUAACUAAAUUUCCAAACUACCCUUUUU